AGUGAACGCUGGCGGUAGGCCUAACACAUGCAAGUCGAACGGCAGCACAGUAAGAGCUUGCUCUUACUGUUGGCGAGUGGCGGACGGGUGAGGAAUACAUCGGAAUCUACUUUUUCGUGGGGGAUAACGUAGGGAAACUUACGCUAAUACCGCAUACGACCUACGUGUGAAAGCAGGGGAUCUUCGUACCUUGCGCGAUUGAAUGAGCCGAUGUCGGAUUAGCUAGUUGGGGGGGUAAAGGCCCACCAAGGCGACGAUCCGUAGCUGGUCUGAGAGGAUGAUCAGCCACACUGGAACUGAGCCACGGUCCAGACUCCUACGGGAGGCAGCAGUGGGGAAUAUUGGACAAUGGGCGCAAGCCUGAUCCAGCCAUACCGCGUGGGUGAAGAAGGCCUUCGGGUUGUAAAGCCCUUUUGUUGGGAAAGAAAAGCAGCAGGUUAAUACCACGCUGUUCUGACGGUACCCAAAGAAUAAGCACCGGCUAACUUCGUG
rnacentral:rRNA from 1 species